rnacentral:rRNA from 1 species
AUUGAACGCUGGCGGCAUGCUUUACACAUGCAAGUCGAACGGCAGCGCGGGCUUCGGCCUGGCGGCGAGUGGCGAACGGGUGAGUAAUGCAUCGGAACGUGCCCAGUAGUGGGGGAUAGCCCGGCGAAAGCCGGAUUAAUACCGCAUACGACCUGAGGGUGAAAGCGGGGGACCGAAAGGCCCCGCGCUAUUGGAGCGGCCGAUGUCGGAUUAGCUAGUUGGUGGGGUAAAGGCUUACCAAGGCGACGAUCCGUAGCUGGUCUGAGAGGACGACCAGCCACACUGGGACUGAGACACGGCCCAGACUCCUACGGGAGGCAGCAGUGGGGAAUUUGGGACAAUGGGGGCAACCCUGAUCCAGCCAUGCCGCGUGCGGGAAGAAGGCCUUCGGGUUGUAAACCGCUUUUGUUCGGGAAGAAAUCCUCUGGGCUAAUACCCCGGGGGGAUGACGGUACCGGAAGAAUAAGCACCGGCUAACUACG